rnacentral:rRNA from 1 species
AUCCCUUGCAUCAGCAAUAAGGUCACAGGUAGACUACCUGUUUGAUAGGUCGCAGGUGGAAGCGCAGUAAUGCGUGCAGCUGAGCGAUACUAAUCGACCGAGUGCUUGAACUG